UGUCAAUACCAUAGUUGGCAAUUAAUUCUAGUAUGACCGACAGAUUGAAAGUCUCUAGAAGUAAGUCUCUAGUAACUUUUACUUUUAGCAAUUAUUACUAGAAUGAAAAAUUACUAGGGAAUUAUUUCUAGGAACUCUAGAUAAAUUCUGACAGCAAUAAUCAGAAGUGUGUGUAUUUACUUUGUUGUAAAUUUUUCUCUUUGUUGUCUACGUAGUGACGCAAUUAAGAAGUAAUAAUUUUAUGUGAAAACAAUGUUUAUUUUUUAUAAAGGACAACAUUAUUAAUAAUAGAUGUACAAUUCAUGAUAUUAACAAUGGAUGUAAUUGCCAAUAACACAGUCAAGGCAGAUGUACCUUAAUAUUUUAAGGCAGAUGGAAAAAGAUUUUGAUAUGGAUGAGAAGAUCUCUAUAUUAUUUUUAAUAGCAGACGAUUAUGCAAAUGCUACUUGCAUGUUCUACUAUAUUUUACCGACAUCGUACCGACAGGCCUAUUUAGUAGGCGACACAAACUCCCGUAAGGCAUUGAUUUUAAUAUAAAAGUCGCUGUUCAGAAAAACUUGCCGAUAGAGUAGAAAUUGUCAAAAUAAAGGCAAUGUUUAUAUAUUCAUCUUCUUACAAACAAAUUCAGAUUAAUGCCGGAAUAAUAUUGUGCUUCAUUGUCAAAAAUUUAUUAACACACAUGAUAUACAUAUAUUAAAAAUGAUUAAACGAAAAUGACCGAAUUGGAUCACAGUUAAUUCUAAGAGCCAUCCGGAUAGAAUUGGUUAUUUUAAUAUGAAAACAAAUCUACAUGAACCGUACCAGUUGACGAUGAAAUCAAGACAUCUUGUCAGAUUGCAAACACAAAUGUGUUUGGAUGUCAUUGAUUUUGAUGUUCCUUUUAUAUAUGAUGAAUUUUGUGUUUUAUA